rnacentral:rRNA from 1 species
UGGGGAAUAUUGCACAAUGGGCGCAAGCCUGAUGCAGCAACGCCGCGUGAGGGACGACGGCCUUCGGGUUGUAAACCUCUUUUAGUAGGGAAGAAGCGAAAGUGACGGUACCUGCAGAAAAAGCACCGGCUAACUACGUGCCAGCAGCCGCGGUAAUACGUAGGGUGCGAGCGUUGUCCGGAAUUAUUGGGCGUAAAGAGCUCGUAGGCGGUCUGUCGCGUCUGCUGUGAAAAACCCGAGGCUCAACCUCGGGCCUGCAGUGGGUACGGGCAGACUAGAGUGCGGUAGGGGAGAAUGGAAUUCCUGGUGUAGCGGUGGAAUGCGCAGAUAUCAGGAGGAACACCGAUGGCGAAGGCAGUUCUCUGGGCCGUAAACUGACGCUGAGGAGCGAAAAGCGUGGGGAGCGAAACAGGAUUAGAUACCCUGGUAGUCCACGCCGUAAAACGUUGGGCGCUAGAUGUGGGGACCAUUCCACGGUUUCCGUGUCGCAGCUAACGCAUUAAGCGCCCCGCCUGGGGAGUACGGCCGCAAAGGCUAAAAACUCAAAAGGAAUUGACGGGGUCAUAGCUGUUUCCU